GCAGCAGCCAGCAUCCGCGGGGUCGCUCGGGCGCCCCUGAGUGGGCGGCAGUGGCAGCAGACCUCUCUCCCGGGAGUCCCGGACCUGCCAGCGCUGGGGAUUCCUCCCAGGCGGGCGCUCGUCUUCUCUUUUAUGCUGAGCCUCUGCCGUUGAUGGACCUAUGCCGGCGAUCCAUCCGCUCAGCCCUGGGCAGACAGCGCCUGCGGGACAUCGGCUCCCUGCCCCUGCCUCAGUCUCUUAAAAACUAUCUGCAGUACCAAUGAGCAGUGCUGAGGACCUGCUGUCACCUGUGGUCACACAGCUCCGGAGCAUUGGGAUGACAUCACUGAUUUGCUGCCAUCAACCAGGACCAGGAGGCCACCAAGGGAACCAGAGUGUAGAGACCAUUUCUUCCUCCAGAGAAUGAAUAAAACAUUCAGUAGGAGAUGGCGUCCGGUUCCCCACUGCAGACGGCUCAGGAAGAUUGGCCAGUGGAGAGAAAAUAGGUUCUGAAUAAUGAACGACGAAGUCAGGCCUUCACGCUCUCCUCCCCGCCUGCCCCUGGC
rnacentral:lncRNA from 1 species